GAUGAACGCUGGCGGCGUGCCUAAUACAUGCAAGUCGAGCGAACAGAUGAGGAGCUUGCUCCUCUGACGUUAGCGGCGGACGGGUGAGUAACACGUGGAUAACCUACCUAUAAGACUGGGAUAACUUCGGGAAACCGGAGCUAAUACCGGAUAAUAUCUUGAACCGCAUGGUUCAAUAGUGAAAGACGGUUUUGCUGUCACUUAUCGAUGGUUCCGCGCCGCAUUAGCUAGUUGGUAAGGUAACGGCUUACCAAGGCAACGAUGCGUAGACGACCUGAUAGGGUGAUCGGCCACACGGGAGCGGAGACGCGGACAAGACUCCUACGGGAGGCAGCAGUAGGGAAUCGGCCGCAAUGGGCGAAAGCAUGACGGAGCAACGCCGAGUGAGAGAUGAAGGUCUUCGGAGCGGAAAAAUCGGUUAUGAGGGAAGAACAAAUGUGUAAGGAAAUAUGCACGGCUUGACGGUACCUAAUCAGAAAGCCACGGCUAACUACGUG
rnacentral:rRNA from 1 species